rfam:Camelus ferus unplaced genomic scaffold scaffold91897, whole genome shotgun sequence.
GAAGAUAUAGCUCAAUGGUAGAACAUAUGCUUAGCAUCCAUGAGGUCCUGGGUUCAAUCCCCAGUAUCUCUA